ACUUUUGAUUGGUACUUUUUAUUGGAAUAGUGAUAUGAAAUUAUUUGUUGUUGUCCAUUGAUUUACGUAUUUGGAGAGUGAAAGUUAGGGGUUUGUUAGAAAUUAACAAUAGAAGAAAUCUCUAAGAAUGUAAUUAUCAUGUUAGUUUCAGAAAAGAUCAAAAUUUGGACCAUGGUUUCAUUGAUGAAUUAUAAAGAUACUGUGGUGAUGUUCUAACUUUGUGGUGAUGUUAUGAAUUGUGAGUUUUCUUGUAAUCUAUGCUUAUAUUAUUUGGUUCAUGAAUAUUAAGUGGUAUAUACAAUAAGGCUAAGGUUAUACUUGUCCUACCUUUUCCAAUUCCCUUAAUUGUUUUUGGUAAUCUAUGCUUGUAUUUUGUCACCUGUAUUUAGUAAUUACCUGAAUAUAUUUGGUGAUUACCAAAACAUUAUAGAAAUUGAUGUGAUGUUAUGAAUUGUAUGUUUUUAUGUAAUCUAUGUUAGUAUGAUUUUGUUUUUUUUUUUUUUGAUGCAAAUGUUAGUAUGAUUUUGUUCAUGAAUAUAUAAAAAUUGUUUUGUUCAAAUCCCUUAAUUGUGUUUGGUAAUCUAUGCUAGUAUUCACUAGUAGAAUAAUUGCUUAUUGCUGCGAUUUUACCAAUACGCUGCAAUAUAUCACGUAAAAAGAAAAAGAAAAAUAUAAAAGAAGUAUAUUGCUGCGAUUUCGACCGAAAACCGCAGCAAUAUAGUUUAAACGAAAAUUUUUUGAAUUUUUUUUACCAUGACCAAAAAUAUUGCUGCGGUUUCUGGCAAAAACCGCAGCAACAUAUUAAAAUAAUAUAAAAAAAAUUAUUUUAAUAUAUUGCUGCGGUUUUUGACAAAAACCGCAGUAAUAUGACAUUAAAAAGUAUUUAAAGAUACUAGGGUUAUAAGCCCAUCUCUCUAACCCUAAAUAACAUUUGUGCGUGCGCCUCUCACCACACAUCUCCUCUCACGCAUGUUCUCACCUCUAUCCUCUCUCCUCUCUCCUCUCACCCUCAACUUUGUCUCACACGUCUCUAACCUUAAACCGGGCUUGUUCGUUCAUCUUCCCGGCGGCUAACAAAGAAAAAAAGGUAUCACCGUCGUUCAACUCGCUUCUCGCUCCGGCGAGGGGUUUCACUGUGCAUUCGUCUGUCGUUCCUUCGUUCGCCGGUGUUCCUUCGUUCAUCGGUCGUUCCUUCGUCGAAAUCCGUUCGUCCUUCAUCGAAAUCCGUUCGUCCUUCGUCGAAAUGCGUUCGUCCUUCGUCGAAAUCCAGAUUUGCACCGAUCCUUCGCAAUAGAUCUUCGAGUUCUUCAAGUUCUUUGAGUUUUUGAGCGGUUAUUUCAGUCGUGUUUUACGAUUUUUUUUAAGUUCAGUUUCUUUUUUUUCAUAUAUUUUUUAUUUUCAUUACGAUUGUUUUACGUUUUAGUUCUGUUUUUUUUCUUAGAUUUAAUUCUUCGAUUUUUUUUAUAGAUUUGAUUUUCUGAUUUUCUUCUUGUAUUAUUAUAAAUUUUUAGAUUUAGUUCUUCGAUUUUAAAUAUUGUUAUAAUUUUCAUCAUUUUUGUUUUCUUUGUAAGUGAGAUACUAUUACUGUUAUAAUCUAAUAUUAGGAGUUUCGAUUUUUUAGAUUUAUUGUUAGUUUCAUUUGUUGUGAAUGAAUGUGGUGUUAUUUUUCUCUUAAAAGAUCUGAUGCUCAUUUCUUAUGUGAAUUUGGUGGGUAGUGCAUGGGUUAUUUGUUCAGUUCUAAUUUUUCAAAUUUAAUAUAAAAAAAAAUAAUUUACCUGUACCCGGACAUAUUGCUGCGAUUUUGAUAAGGAACCGCAACAAUAUACUUGAGUAAAUAAUUAAAAAAAAAGUAAUAUUGCUGCGGUUUCUGGGCCGAAACCGCAGCAAUAUUCUCAUAUAAACUGAUAACACAUAAUUAUAUUGCUGCAGUUUGGCCCAGAAACCGCAGCAAUAUAAUUAUUACCUAUUGUUGUCCACUUAAUUGCUGCGCGCCGAAAACCGCAGCAGUAGACCACUUUUUGACCACAGCAAUAAGCAUUUAUUCUACUAGUGAUUGCAGAACUUGUCACCCGUGUUUAGUAAUUACCUAAAUAUGUUUGGUGAUUACCUAAACUUUGUAGAAACUGAAGUGAUGUAUGUUUGAUGAUUACCAAAGUAUUUCGGAAAUUGUGCUUCUAUAUUGUAACCUUGUUUGGUAAUUAUUAAAACAAUGUAUGGUUAUUACCUAACUUGUCGGUAUGUGUAAUAUGCUUAUAAUAUAAUUUUUUUGGGCAGUGAGAUGGCAAGGAUAAAGCUUAUAGCUAAGUCCUACGAGAAAGAAUACGGAGUAGAAUGCUAGUGAUGAUUCGGAUUAUGUGGACUCCCAGGAAGGCAGAGAAUCCCCACAUUCUUCCCCACCUCGUUCAUAUAGAAAAAGGCAAGUUACAAAAUAGCAACAAGCAUCUACUUCUCAGAGUGCACAUAAAAGGAAACGUGUCUUUAAGGGUGAGGAUCACAUCAUUCCUGAAAAUGUUGUUCCCAAAAACACAAGGUGUUUCACCCUAGACCAUGCUCAACUUUACAAAAAAUAAUAUGGUACACGUCAGGUGCACUCAGCAGGUAGGACAAUGGACUUUGGUUCUUUGUCAACUAACGAUGCAAAAUUACUUUUUCAUUGGUUUUAUACCAACAAUGGCAUAGACUAUUGGAGGUUGCCUUGCUAUCCUGAACUUGUGAAAAUAUUCUACACCCAUCUUGAAGUAGAUAACACUGAUGAUGGCAGAGUAACAUCUUGCAUGAAAGGUGUCGAAAUCUAGUUCUAUGAUGUAGAACUUGGAGGAAUUUUUGGUAUGCCUGUCGAGGGUGAGCGAGAUUACCCCGGUACCAAACCUACUGAACACAUGAAUUUUGAUCUUCAAAAGUGCAACAACACUAGUAGAAAAAGCAUGAUUUGCGUCCCCGUAUUUGCGUCGCAUAGACGCGGAAGUGACGCAAAACAUCUAUUUGUGUCGCAUGACAAAAAGAGUAUGCCGCAAAACAUCAAAAACAAUACCAGGACACGCCUAAUAUGCGUCGCAUGGUACAUUUGUGCGACGCAUAUUAGGGUUUUGCGUCGCAUGAUUCACACGUGCGACGCAAAUCAUGCGAGUAUGGGAAGCUUAGGGAGACUAAUGUGCGUCGCACUAGGGGAAGGGUGCGACGCACAUUAGUCAUCUGCGUCGCACGUGCCCUAGGUGCGACGCAAAAGGCUCUCCCCCCUCUGUUUUGUAAUACUCCCAACGGCUUUCUUUAUUUUCGAGCCCUAACUCUACAACUUCUGCUAUCCCCCCUCUCUCUCUCCUGCGACACUCUGCGCACACACUCUCGUCGGGAACCUUACUCACAAUCUCGCCGGCGCACACUCUCGCCGGGAACCUUACUCUCGCCGGUGCCGUCUUCGGCGCACUUCCUCUCUCUCUCUCUCUCUCUCUCUUCCCCUCUCUCUCAUUCUCUUUCCUUACUCUCUCAUUCUCUUUCCAUCUUCGUUGCCGGGAACUUUGCUCACAAUCUCGCCGGAAACUUUGCUCACACUCUCCUUACAAUCGCCGCCGGUGCACCGGUUCUCUCUCUCACUCUCCCUUCGCUGCACCGUCGGUCCCGCCGCUGGCAAGGAGGUAUUUUUUGGUUUUUUUUUUUGGUUUUUUUUGUAUUAAUAUAUAUUAAUCAUGUAUUUUCAAGUUAUUUAAUUUUUUUAGGGGUUGUUUUGAAUAAUCUUAGUUCUAAUUUUUGUUAAGGGGUUAAAAUUAGAAUUCAAAUCAUGAUAAACAUGUGUGAAAUAAUUUGAGAUUAAAUUUAGGAUAUUCGUAGCUUAUGAAUUUGUAUAGUUUGUGUAGUAUAUAGUUUCUUGAAUGCUCUCUUUAGAAAUAUGUGCUUCAAUUAUGAGUUAGAAUUCUUGAAUGCUCAAUUUAGAAUUUGAAACUUAUGUCAGUCCUUUACAUUGUAUUCCAGUUGCCACCUUAGUCCUCGUGGGUUUGCCGGUUCUCCAAGCUCGUGCACUUGUGCUCGUCUUCGCUGCUCCUUGAGAGCAGAGACCUCGGUUCUCCCUUUCUCUCUCAUACAACCUCAGAUCCAGUCACCAUCACUCCUCCCUCAUACGCCCUCACCGGCGGCGGCGCACGCAUCUAAAGAUGGUCGUGAAAUCGUGACUCGGAGUCUCGGACCUCCUGCCGGCUAUUGUUGCCUGGUUGCUUCGUAAUCGCCGACCUGCAGCCGCAACAUUUUGGCUCGAAACUCGAUGGAUGACGGUGUGACUCGUGACUAGCAAACUAGCAUGUUUCAUUAGGAUUUCUCUCGCUAAACAUCAGGAAACCUGUGUCUCCUGAAACGUUGUGAGUAGGUUUAGGUCUUGGUACCUGCAAAUAGAACCUUCGUCAAGCUGAGCUCUAACGUAGUGCAAUCUGCAAUAUGUACAAUGUUGCCUUGUGAGUUGUGAUCUGCCAACAUAUUCUGGUGUGCUCUCUAUAAGUCUAUAUCCAUUAUCCGCAACUGCUAUCUUGCUGAUCGAACAUAUGGUGUGCAAGGUUAUUUGCCUGAUUUGCUGUAUGGGUUUUCUCUAAUUUUGUUGGGUUUUGAUUAAUUUUCGCAGUUGAGAGAUUAUCUUCAAGAAGAUGCUAGAGUUGUGGUGGUUGGGGCUGGUGGGUUAGGAUGUGAAUUGUUGAAGGACUUGGCUUUGUCUGGGUUUAAGAACCUUGAUGUUAUUGAUAUAGACCGCAUCGAAGCCACCAACCUUAAUCGUCAAUUCUUAUUCAGGUUUUUUAUUCUUCUUUGUUACAGUAAACGUUUUUAAAUAUUUGAAUCUUGUGGUACUAAUUUUCGCCUGAAUCGAAAGAGUUUGAUUUGUUUAUUGACUAUUUAACAAUUUGGAGCUGGGUUUAUUCCACCUUAUGAGGGCAAUGUGGUUGUAUGACAAUGUUAAUAUAUUAUAUUCUGUGUUGCCAUCAGAUUACCUUGUUAUAGAUGAUACCUUCUGCCCCUUCAUUGAAAAUUUCUGAGAGUGCAUGAGAUGUGUUGCAGUUAAAUUGUUGGGUAUAUUUUUAGGUAUUAGGUAGCCAAAGCUUGCACAGUUGGGGACAUAACUAACUGUCACACUAGGCAUUUGACGGACGUUGUUUAUAUAGUUGUAGUCAGCAAUCCCCACAACAAUUAGUGCAACAAUCCACGCAACAGUCACAACAACAACAAUUGCAAUCACCAACUCAUUGAAGCCAGUGACUGGAAUAGAUGCUCAGAUUCUGAGACAACUUAAAAUUUCCUUACUUGAUAUGGAAGUUGCGUUGCCUGAAGAAGCACAUAGGCCAUCAAAGGCUUAUCCAGAUAAAAGAAGAGCCUGCCAUGCUUUUGCAAAGGCAGCAGGAACCAUAUUUGAGGUUUACUAGUGAUGUUUUACAAAAUUCCGUGAUCAGCAUUUGGAUGGAGAAGAGGAUUAAUUUAGUUGAGCUUUUGCUUCAGCUCCUCAUACUAUUAGAUGGCAAUCAUAUUUUGAUCAAGAUGACCCACGAUCCCAAAAAGGCCCUUCGUGGUUCAGGAAACCUCAUAAUGGAUCAGGAGGGAAUUUGUCUCACACUCAAGGAUGUCAAAAGAGAGGAAGAAGUAAGGAUAUACCUGGAUUCAUAGCUUGCAGAACUGUUAGUUGUCUAUGUUUUUAUGUGCU